rnacentral:lncRNA from 10 species
CAUAAAUUAGUCACUGUUUUAUUUAACAGAAUCAAGAUAUCCGCAAACAAUAGGCGAGUUCCAACUUGAACAUUUUAAUAAGACAGAAAAAAGUAUAUAUUUUCAUGUCUGUUACAAACAUAUUUAUGUAAAUAGCCUGUGGGCUGCAUUCCAGGAGGAAAGAAGAAAGGGAGUGCCCGCGCGCCGGGGCUGGGCUGGAGACGCACUUCUGCGGUGGGAAAUGACACAGGCCUGGGCGCUGUGGGCUGAGGCCACUCCCCUGCCGUCCCUGGUCCCUGGUGCCUGGUGCCUGGCCGGCUGGUGCCAGGCUCAGUGAGGGAGAAGCGUGCUGCGAUAACCGAACCUCUCCAGCCCCCAAGUCUGCCUGUUUCCUCAUCGGGCAAGUGGUUGUGACAUCCCUGUGGCUGGGGUGUGAUGAGCCGGUAAGACUCCUCAGCGUGGAAGAAUGUGGCAGAUCCCGCACACAUCCCCUCCCCAAGGUCCCAGGAAGCUCCGGCCACCUGGAGUCCAGCUCAGGGAGGGGCUGCCAAGGUGAUUCUCACGAUGUGGUGUCGUGAGGAGCCGGCCAUCAGUUGGAAGUGUCAAGACAAACUCUCGGAGCGCCUGGGAGGCCUGUACUCCAGGCUAGGUCUGGUGGACACUCCGGCCACUGUGCUUCCGAGGGAGCCAACCACGGUGCCACCAGGGCUGGCAGCUCAGGCUCUGGGCUGGUGGCUACGGACCCAGGAAUUAUCGGCCCCUUCUGGCUCUGCCACCCUGUGCUCCAGGCAGGAGUCGCGCCAGCAUCCGGAUUGGAUCCGGGUACGCGCCGUUCCCAGCCCGGGCAGGUCCCUGCAGGAAGGAGGAAGGAGCCGAGGGAGGAGGCAGGAGGAUGGCUCCUGAGCCCCAAGUGGGGGCUUCAAGCAGGGCUGGGGAGGAGGCUACCCUUCUGGCCAGGCCAGGAAUGAGCCCCCUACCUCUGUCCCCAGCAGCCCGGGGACAAAACUGGUCUGUUCCCCGCUUUUCCUGCCAGGGUCGAAGGGUGCCCAACUCCUCCCGUCACCCCACCGGUGUAGCUGGGUCAUGGCCAGCCGAUUGGGGGCGAUUUUAAGAAUAAAAGAUAACUUGAUAGAUUUUUUUCCAGUUUUUAUUGAGUGAAAAUGUCAAACCUUGCA